UAGGGAAUCUUCCACAAUGGGCGCAAGCCUGAUGGAGCAACACCGCGUGAGUGAAGAAGGGUUUCGGCUCGUAAAGCUCUGUUGUUAAAGAAGAACAUGUAUGAGAGUAACUGUUCAUACGUUGACGGUAUUUAACCAGAAAGUCACGGCUAACUACGUGUCAG
rnacentral:rRNA from 1 species